rnacentral:lncRNA from 1 species
AGAGAGCAAGAAGAAAACCCAGUCCACUCUCUUUUCAUUUCAUCUGUUCUACCCUGCCAUCCCUCCCUCUGCUAGGUCAGCUUUCAGCAGGAUUAUGAGAUCAUGAUUCACCAAGGAUACAAUAAAAAUUAAUGUGAGCCUGUUGGAAUGAAGGCUAAAACAGAGGAAGUAGUAGAGCAAUAGAUGUGUACCUGUACCUGAGGUGGACAGCCUGUAUAAUCAAAGAACUGGACCAACAGAAUGAGGCGCUAGGCCACAUGAAGCUAAGGUAGUCAUCCAAUUCUAAGACUCGAAACAAGAAGCAGAAGUCACUUAUAUGCACACAGCCUUCCAUUCUGCAUGAGAAAAUAAACACCAAACCAUCAGCAACUGGUACACUCCUUUGUUGGUGGCAGAAAGAUUA